GCAGCUCAGUAUAUAUACCAUGACAGCCUUACAUGAACCACAUUAGCCAUCUUACACAAAGAGGGGUGGCAUUUCAUGUCAGUCUACAUGUACCAUGAUUGCCUGGGGUAGAUAUCGUAACAUGCUAGCAGACCAGUAUGGGUCAGUCUGCCGGUACUCUAACAGUCUGUGUACACUGUGACAGCACACAUCUUAUCAGCCUGCAUGCUCCAUCACAGCCACUGCCUGUCCUAACAGCCCAGCACCAGCCAUUCUGCAGAUAUAAUGACAAAUACAGACUGUGAUCACCCAGUGUGUGGCAGUCUACAUGGACCAGGAUAGUCAGUACAUAAUGUGAUGGCUCAUAAUGUGUCCAGACUUUUGCUCUGACAAUGCAGCUUGGUGUGUUGUCCCUGUGUAUGUGUGCUGUAUAUGCUUAAUUUACCUACACUGGUUCUACUUGUACUUCUUUCCAUUGCAUUGGCUUCUAUUUCAGAUUACUUGCUUUCUGUUUCCACUUCCUGCAAGUGUUUGUGUCUAUUUGCUUUCCUCAUUCCAGAGGGCCACAACAGCCUAUUGGCUAGCUAUCACUUGAUGUUUUUUUGAACUAGGAGCACUUGGGUGGCUCAUUUGGUUAAGUAUCUGACUCUUAGUUUUGGCUCAGGCUGUGAUCUCAGGGUUGUGGGAUUGAGCCCCACAUGGAGUCCUUCACCAGGCUUCGUGCUCAGUGUGGAGUCUGCUUGAGAGAUUCUCUCUCCCCCUUUCCCACUGCCCCUCCUUCUACUCAUGCUCCCUCUCUCACUCUCUCAAAAAUAAAUAAUUUUAUUUAUUUAGUCAUGAGAGACACACAGAGAGAGAGGCAGAGACAUAGGCAGAGGGAGAAGCAGGAUCCAUGUAGGAAGCCUGGCGCGGGACUUGAUCCUGGGACUGUGGGACCAUUCCCUGAGCCAAAGACAGAUGCUCAACCACUGAGUCACCCAGGUGCCCCAAGAUUUAUUUAUUUAUUUUACAGAAAAAGACGGGGAUGGAGGGAGAAAGAGAGAGGGGGAGAGAGAGAGAGACACUAGGGGGAAGGACAGAGGGAAAGCAUCUUUAAGCAGACUCUCCACUGAGCUCAGAGCCUGUUGUCUGUGGGGCUAGAUCUCAUGAAGUGUGAGGUCACAACCUGAGCUGAAACCAAGAGUCGAACACUUAACUGACUGAGCCACCCAGGCACCCCUUUAAUUUUAAUUUUUUGAGGAACCUUCAUUUUGUUUUCCAUAAUGGUUGCACCAAUUUGCAUUCCCACCAGUGGUGCAUAAGAGUUCCUUUUUCUCCACAUCAUUGCCAGCCACCAUUCUGACAUCACAUCACUUUCCCAUAUUCUUUUGGUUAAAAUAAGUCACAAGGCUAGCCCAGUUCAAGGGGGAUGGGAAAUAGACUCAAUUUCUUGAUUGAAGGAGUGGUAAAAUCACAUUGAAAAAGGAUAUGUGGAAUGGGAGGGAUGGUUUUGGCAGUCUGGGGGGAGGGAUGGUUUUCCCAAUUUGUCCUUGGGAAAAUUAUUUAACUACCUGAUUUCACAUUCUUCACCUGUGAAAUAGGAAAUAACACUGCUUAGGAAUGUUGUCACUAAUAAAUUAAGAAAGUGUGUUUAGCAUCUCAUACAUUGUAGUAGACACUAACAGCCAUAAAAAAAAAAAACAACAACAUAUAUUGACUGAGCCUGUGUUGUGUGACAGCACUGUUCCAGGUCCUUUUAUGUAAUCUUUAUAACAAUUCACUAAUGCAUAUAUUAGUAUUAUCUGAAGAGAAACCCUAGGCACAAAAUUUUAAGUAACUUCCAUAAGGUUGGUUCCAGAGUAACUAUUCUAAAUUGCAUAUGUCAUACUGCCUGCUACAUCCAAAGGGCACCUCUUAGUUUUUGUCUGUGUAGGCUCUGUUGAUAAUUGAUGGCUGUAGAUCACUCCUCCAUCAAAUGUUCUUCCUCCUUUGGCCCCCACGACUCCCCUCUGUCCAGUGUUUUCUCUGUCACUGCUGCCUUUCAAUCUCCUCCUUACUGAACCACAUUUUAAAUGACAAAGCUCUCUCCCAUUUUUCCAGCUCUCCUUGCCUGGAGGAAUCCAUCCAAUAUGGCAACUCAAUUUCUCUUUCUAUGGAUGAUUUCCAGUCUCCCCUCUCUCCAUAACUCUAGGCUUCCAGUUCUAAGCAUUUUCCAUUAUUCACCACAUAUGACCCAGGUCAGUUUGUGAAACUUCUAUGUCUUUCAUUCUAUCUCAUCCCAUUGAUUGCAGUCCUGUCAACUAAUACUUGAAAUGUUUUUCCAGUUUAGAUGUUCUUGCCAAUCUGCUAGUGCCUUUGGCCUGAUCUAGGCCCUCAUUGUAUCUUAACUGGCUUAUCAAAGUAAUUUUUUUAAAAGUUUUUAAAAUUUAUUUAUUCAUGAGAGACAGAGACGGAGAGAGAGAGGCAGAGACACAGGCAGAGGGAGAAGCAGGCUCCAUGCAGGAGCCUGACGUGGGACUUGAUCGUGGAACUCCAGGAUCAAACCCUGGACUGAAGGCAGCGCUAAACCGCUGAGCCAUCCAGGCUGCCCUCAAUGUAAUUUUUUGACUGGACUCCCGCUUUCAGUUCCUCUCUGAGGUGGUCACAUCAGUAGUAUAUUUAUACAUGCUUGAACAUACACCUCCUCCCCACCAUUACUAUACUAGCCCUAGCCCCUUGCUCUCUCUCUGGUUCCCCCUUCACCAUUACAUAGUUCCCUCCUUUCAGGGACCAGCCUCUGCACUACCUCCUCCACAGGCUCCCCCCCUUCAGCUGGCUUCAUCUCCUUCCUCGUUUUCCUAGGUCAGAGUCAACCUGUCUUUUCACUGUCUAGUUAUCUUUAUAACUCUGCAUUUUCUCUGCUGUUCUAAUAUAAGAUGCUUGAGGCCCUAGCACCGUUCACAGCAGGAUUUCAGAGCUCUCUGUUCAGCGAACACUCUGGCAUCCUGAAAUACCUUCCUGCACAGUAUUAUUUGCUAUGAGGUGUCCCUAGCAACAGCACAACCUAUGGCUAAGAGUGCCAGCUGUGGAGAGUCAACUCUAAUUGUUUUAUAGCAGGGCCAGGACACUAAUUUUACUUGAAGCUAAUAAUAAUAAUAAUUAUUAUUAUUACUAUGUAAUAAUACCAUGCCUCCUCAAGUAUGAACUCGGGCAAGUGAUGCCUUUCUGAGUCUGAGGUUGCUAAAAUGAGGAUAACAGUUACAGACCUUGCUGGGCUGUCAAGGGAAUGAAUUGAGAUAAUGUAUUUAAAAGGCUCGUGGCGUAGAGCCCGGCACCCCUCUUCUUCUCCCUCCCACCCCCCCAAGAGUUCAGUACUUCGGAGUUAUUUCUGGGCUUAUUGCCUGGGAGGCUGAAGAGGGGAGUUCAUGAGAGGCGCCCAGAGUUCCCUUCCAAAAAAGCUCUGAUUCUG
rnacentral:lncRNA from 1 species